UACGUAGGGUGCAAGCGUUGUCCGGAAUUAUUGGGCGUAAAGGGCUCGCAGGCGGUUUGUCGCGUCGGGAGUGAAAUCCACUGGCUUAACUGGUGGCUUGCUUUCGAUACGGGCAGACUGGAGGCAUGCAGGGGGAGAACGGAAUUCCUGGUGUAGCGGUGAAAUGCGCAGAUAUCAGGAGGAACACCGGUGGCGAAGGCGGUUCUCUGGGCAUGUCCUGACGUGAGGAGCGAAAGUGUGGGGGAGCGAACAGG
rnacentral:rRNA from 1 species